UACGGGGGGAGCAAGCGUUGUUCGGAUUUACUGGGCGUAAAGGGCGCGUAGGCGGCGCCGCAAGUCGACUGUGAAAUCUCCGGGCUUAACCCGGAAAGGUCAGCCGAUACUGCGGGGCUAGAGUGCAGAAGGGGCAACUGGGAAUUCUCGGUGUAGCGGUGAAAUGCGUAGAUAUCGAGAGGAACACCUGCGGCGAAGGCGGGUUGCUGGGCUGACUAUGACGCUGAGGCGCGAAGCCAGGGGAGCGAACGGG
rnacentral:rRNA from 1 species